UGUCUACAUGAGAGGUUUAUGUGGUCUGACCUGCUCACUGAGAGUUGAGCUUUAAGAGCCGCGGUAAUUUGACCGUGCAAAGGUAGCAUAAUCAAUAGUCUUCUUAAUUAGAAACUGGAAUGAAUGGUUGGACAAAAGAGCUCCUGUCUUCUUUUGUGAAAUUUGAAUUUAACUUUCAAGUGAAAAGGCUUGAAUUUAAGUAGAGGGACGAUAAGACCCUAUAAAGCUUUAUAACUAACUUAUUUUCUUAAAAAAGAAGAAAUAAAAAGAUCUUAAUAGAGUUAUUUUAUUGGGGCGAUAAAGAUAAAAUUAUUAUAACUGUUAAAAAGUCAAACACUUAUUAUUGAACUUUAAAAGAUCCUGUUUACCGAUUUUAAGACAAAGUUACUUUAGGGAUAACAGCGUUAUUUCUUUUAAAAGUUCUUAUUGAAAAAGAAGAUUGCGACCUCGAUGUUGAAUUAAAAUUUCUUUGUGGUGUAGCAGCUACUAAAAGAGG
rnacentral:rRNA from 1 species